rnacentral:lncRNA from 1 species
AGCCAUGGUCACGAAUAUACACAGCUAUGCAUUUCCCAAAUAUUGAGUCAGAGUGGUACCUGGAAUUACUGCAAAGAAGAAGCCUAUCAGUAAGGUAAACGAGAAACAACAAACAACAUCCAAAUCAACCAGUCAAGCCCAUGAGUGAUCUCGUGAAUGUAGGAAAAUUUGAAAAGCAAAUAACAGCACAUGUUUCGAUCCCAA